UGCUCUCUCUUUCUGGAGGAGGUGGACAGAAAGGAGAAGGAUGACAGGGAAUUUCUUCCUGAGGCUCCUUCCCUACUCUGAAAAACCUGCCUGAAACUGUAGCUGUAUUUUGUGUGCCACCAGAAAGGUCAUAUUUUUCAGUUGGUUUUGCUCAUUUGGUAUAAGAAUGUUAGAACUCGGAUUCAGAGACUAGAAGAGAAAAGGCUUUGGAGCAGGGUAUGUAUUAGGGUAUUGGAAGGAAAUCAGGGUCACUAGGCAGGGAUACUAGACCUGAAUCAGAAUUGAACAUGCCCUGCGAACUAUUCUCCUAAUCUUUGUUCACUUCAAUCAAGUGGUUUUUGACCAGGUUGGAGUAAAGGUAGCCGCCGGGCUGGUAUCGGGGCCCGGAAUGACACUCACCUCACCAGGAUGGCCACCCCCACGUCCUCGCAGUUGGCAUAUAGCCGGGCCCACGUAUCCUGAACCGCCUUCCUCUCGGUCUCGGACAGCUCCUCGUUCCGCUCCCUCCGCUCUAUCUCCAUCUCACCCGGCACUUUCUCCAUCAGCAGUAGGGAUAGGGAAAGCGGCGGCACUGCUGCAAAGAGCGAAGACUCCCCCGGCCACCCGGGAACCGAGCUCAAGCCCUGGCUCUCCCUCUGCUUGAGGAGUCUGCUGCUUGUGGGAGAAGUAGUCAAUCUUAAAGAUGCACACCACUGGAUGCAUACUUUCUGUUGUUCUUUGCCCUUCAUAUGGACUACUUUUCAUGAGCCCAGAUGUUGGAAAUGAGGAAACUGCUGAAAUUCUCAAGUCUUUAGAACAGAUUCCCUUUCCUCAGAAACUGUCAACAAUUUGAUAAGACAAGGUGGGAGCUACCCAGAGCUCUGUGGGGAUUUCAGACCCAACCCUGAGGUCAAAGAAUCAGUGUUGUUAUCAGACAGAGUUGGAGGAGAUAAGAUCCCAGAGCAUCCAAGCAUCUUUGGGGUCUUCAACACCAUGAGUAUUAUCCACUGAGUAAGUGAGGGUUGGGAUUUAUUUGGCCAAGGGUAUUUAUUUGUCUGCUUGAGAGCAAUAUUAAACCUCAUUUUUCUGUCCAGAGUAGUGCUGAUUACAAUUUAACAUGGUUGUCACUCACUUCAGAUAGCAUCUUCUCCCUCCAGUCCUCAUAGCUCACUCUGACUUUAGCUGUUUUGCUAAGAUGAACUGUGAGAAGAAAUGCCUGAAGCAUCUGUGACAUGUUUGCCUGAAACUGAAUGAGGACAGCUAACAAAUACCUUUUCUGAGUGUAAUCUGUCUAGGAAUGUGAAUGCUAAAAGGUGUAUGUAUUAGGGGAAGUGGAUGAUAAAAGGUGUGUGUGUUGGAAGCAUAAUAUAUUCUGUGAAGUA